rnacentral:rRNA from 1 species
GAUGAACGCUGGCGGCGUGCCUAAUACAUGCAAGUCGAGCGAACAGACGAGGAGCUUGCUCCUCUGACGUUAGAGGCGGACGGGUGAGUAAAACGUGGAUAACCUACCUAUAAGACUGGGAUAACUUCGGGAAACCGGUGCUAAUACCGGAUAAUAUCUUGAACCGCAUGGUUCAAUAGUGAAAGACGGUUUUGCUGUCCCUUAUAGAUGGAUCCGCGCCGCAUUAGUUAGUUGGUAAGGUAACGGCUUACCAAGGCAACGAUGCGUAGCCGACCUGAGAGGGUGAUCGGCCACACUGGAACUGAGACACGGUCCAGACUCCUACGGGAGGCAGCAGUAGGGAAUCUUCCGCAAUGGGCGAAAGCCUGACCGAGCAACGCCGCGUGAGUGAUGAAGGUCUUCGGAUCGUAAAACGCUGUUAUUAGGGAAGAACAAAUGUGUAAGUAACUAUGCACAUCUUGACGGUACCUAAUCAGAAAGCCACGGCUAACUACGUG